GCAUAUCAAUAAGCCGGAGGAAAAAGAAACCAACCAGGGAUUGCCUCAGUAACGGCGAGUGAAGCGGCAACAGCUCAAAUUUGAAAUCUGGCCCUAGGCCCGAGUUGUAAUUUGCAGAGGAUGUUUCUGGCGAGGUGCCUUCCGAGUUCCCUGGAACGGGACGCCAUAGAGGGUGAGAGCCCCGUACGGUUGGUCGCUAAGCCUCUGUGAAACUCCUUCGACGAGUCGAGUAGUUUGGGAAUGCUGCUCUAAAUGGGAGGUAUACGUCUUCUAAAGCUAAAUACCGGCCAGAGACCGAUAGCGCACAAGUAGAGUGAUCGAAAGAUGAAAAGCACUUUGAAAAGAGGGUUAAAUAGUACGUGAAAUUGUUGAAAGGGAAGCGCUUAUGACCAGACUUGGACCGGUUGAUCAUCCAUCGUUCUCGGUGGUGCACUCUGCCGGUUCAGGCCAGCAUCAGUUUGUCCCGGGGGAUAAAGGCUUUGGGAAUGUGGCUCUUCGGAGUGUUAUAGCCCAUUGCGUAAUACCCUGGGAUAGACUGAGGUUCGCGCUCCGCAAGGAUGCUGGCGUAAUGGUCAUCAGUGACCCGUCUUGAAACACGGACCAAGGAGUCGUCUUCGUAUGCGAGUGUUCGGGUGUCAAACCCCUACGCGUAAUGAAAGUGAACGUAGGAGAGAGCUUCGGCGCAUCUCCGACCGAUCCUGAUGUUCUCGGAUGGAUUUGAGUAAGAGCAUACGGGGCCGGACCCGAAAGAAGGUGAACUAUGCUUGUAUAGGGUGAAGCCAGAGGAAACUCUGGUGGAGGCUCGCAGCGGUUCUGACGUGCAAAUCGAUCGUCAAAUAUGAGCAUGGGGGGCGAAAGACUAAUCGAACCUUCUAGUAGCUGGUUUCCGCCGAA
rnacentral:rRNA from 1 species